CCUACGGGGAGCAGCAGUGGGGAAUAUUGGACAAUGGGCGAAAGCCUGAUCCAGCCAUGCCGCGUGUGUGAAGAAGGCCUUCGGGUUGUAAAGCACUUUCAGUGGGGAAGAAAGCCUUGGGGCUAAUACCCUCGAGGAAGGACAUCACCCACAGAAGAAGCACCGGCUAACUCCGUGCCAGCAGCCGCGGUAAUACGGAGGGUGCGAGCGUUAAUCGGAAUUACUGGGCGUAAAGCGCGCGUAGGCGGUCUGAUAAGCCGGUUGUGAAAGCCCCGGGCUCAACCUGGGAACGGCAUCCGGAACUGUCAGGCUAGAGUGCAGGGGAGGAAGGUAGAAUUCCCGGUGUAGCGGUGAAAUGCGUAGAGAUCGGGAGGAAUACCAGUGGCGAAGGCGGCCUUCUGGACUGACACUGACGCUGAGGUGCGAAAGCGUGGGUAGCAAACAGGAUUAGAUACCCCAGUAGUC
rnacentral:rRNA from 1 species